GUUUUUAUUAAAAAACAAUGCAGAUCAAUACAAUUUUUUUCAGCACAAAUUGUUGCAACAGAUGUAUAAUUGCAUUUAGAGCACAACAGGACAAAAGUAGGCAUAUAAUAAGGUGAAAAAGAAUAACAGCACCAAACAAGUGAGAGCAAAUAAAAGAAAAUACAGAGGUAAAGCUAUUCUGAUAUAAAAUUAAAACGUUUGAGCAGGUCAAUGGUUUUGGUUCGUUUUUUGUUAGGGUGAUUUAAUUGUGACCGUGUUUGGAAGUAAUUGUUGAGAUCAGAUUGUUUAAAAGUGGAAAAGGAUGGUGAUUUUUCUUUCAGAAAUGUCAUUUUAUGGAUGAAGAACGUGUCACAAUGUUACAGUGACAAUAAAAUACUGUAAAGCUUCUUCUUCUUCUUCUUCUUCUUCUAAAGCUGUUUACCAACCGUCUUUAAACAACAGAAGAGGAGGAAGAAAAAGAAUCUGAUUGGACAGUAACAGUCCAAUCACAGAGUAGAGUCAAAUUGUCCAAUCAGGUGGCAUGUGGUUUCUAUAAGUUAGUCUCCAGUAAACGUUCUGUAAUUUUGGUUGUCGUGGAGAGUCAAGAUGACUGCUAUUCAGGUGGGAUACUUUAUCUAGCGUUAGCCGAAUGCUAAUGUAGGACGUUAGCAAAACUCUGCUAGCAAGAAAAAUUUUAAUGGCCACAGAACGCACGGACAAGAAUAUGGAACUCGCACAGCUUAAAUAGUCUCAGCCGUGUUGUGAGCAGGACAGACAGUGUUCUGGGCCCCUGUCACUCCUACGUAGGGACAUGAAGCUGAUGAGGUCCUGAUCUUCCAAAUGGCCAGAAACCAGACAUCCAUGGCUCUGGAGUUCUUCCUUGGUGCUGCAAAGAAACAUGACUUUACAUCCAGCCUGCUUUAAGAUGAUCUGGGCACAACUGGGAAGACUUCUUGUCAACCCUCAUGAGGACAUUUGAGGUGAGUGGCUUUGUAAAGAAACUUGUGCUUCAUUUCACAGUCAAUAAAAUGUUUGAAUAGUUUUCAUUUCAGAGGGACCAUUUUUCCCAGAUAAAGUGAUU